rnacentral:rRNA from 1 species
CCUACGGGGGCAGCAGUGGGGAAUAUUGGACAAUGGGCGAAAGCCUGAUCCAGCCAUGCCGCGUGUGUGAAGAAGGCCUUCGGGUUGUAAAGCACUUUCAGUGGGGAAGAAAGCCUUGGGGCUAAUACCCUCGAGGAAGGACAUCACCCACAGAAGAAGCACUGGCUAACUCCGUGCCAGCAGCCGCGGUAAUACGGAGGGUGCGAGCGUUAAUCGGAAUUACUGGGCGUAAAGCGCGCGUAGGCGGUCUGAUAAGCCGGUUGUGAAAGCCCCGGGCUCAACCUGGGAACGGCAUCCGGAACUGUCAGGCUAGAGUGCAGGAGAGGAAGGUAGAAUUCCCGGUGUAGCGGUGAAAUGCGUAGAGAUCGGGAGGAAUACCAGUGGCGAAGGCGGCCUUCUGGACUGACACUGACGCUGAGGUGCGAAAGCGUGGGUAGCAAACAGGAUUAGAUACCCUUGUAGUC